rnacentral:tRNA from 1 species
GGCCUGAUGGUCUAGUCGUAUGAUUCUCGCUUUGGGUCGAAGAACACAUCAUGCGAGAGGUCCGGGGUUCAAUUCCCCGUCAGGCCC